GAACGCUGGCGGCAUGCCUAACACAUGCAAGUCGAACGCGAAAGUCCUUCGGGGCGAGUAGAGUGGCGGACGGGGUGAGUAAUGCGUGGGAAUCUACCUCGUAGUGGGGGACAACCCGGGGAAACUCGGGCUAAUACCGCAUACGUUCUACGGAAGAAAGGGGGCCUCUGCUUGCAAGCUCUCGCUAUGAGAUGAGCCCACGUCCGAUUAGCUAGUUGGUAGGGUAAAGGCCUACCAAGGCGACGAUCGGUAGCUGGUCUGAGAGGAUGACCAGCCACACUGGGACUGAGACACGGCCCAGACUCCUACGGGAGGCAGCAGUGGGGAAUAUUGGACAAUGGGCGCAAGCCUGAUCCAGCAAUGCCGCGUGUGUGAAGAAGGCCUGCGGGUUGUAAAGCACUUUC
rnacentral:rRNA from 1 species